rnacentral:rRNA from 1 species
UACGGAGGGUGCAAGCGUUAAUCGGAAUUACUGGGCGUAAAGCGCACGCAGGCGGCUUGUUAAGUCGUAUGUGAAAGCCCCGGGCUCAACCUGGGAAUUGCAUUCGAUGCUGGCAAGCUAGAGUAUGUGAGAGGGGGGUAGAAUUCCAAGUGUAGCGGUGAAAGGCGUAGAGAGUUGGAGGAAUACCAGUGGCGAAGGCGGCCCACUGGCACACUACUGACGCUCAGGUGCGAAAGCGUGGGGAGCAAACAGG